rnacentral:rRNA from 1 species
AGAGUUUGAUCCUGGCUCAGGAUGAACGCUGGCGGCGUGCUUAACACAUGCAAGUCGAACGAUUGAAGCUGGAGCUUGCUCCGGCCGAUUUAGUGGCGGACGGGUGAGUAACGCGUGGGUAACCUGCCUCAUACAGGGGGAUAGCAGUUGGAAACGACUGGUAAAACCGCAUAAGCGCACGGUAUCGCAUGAUACAGUGUGAAAACACUCCGGUGGUAUGAGAUGGACCCGCGUCUGAUUAGCUAGUUGGUGAGGUAACGGCCCACCAAGGCGACGAUCAGUAGCCGGCCUGAGAGGGUGAACGGCCACAUUGGGACUGAGACACGGCCCAAACUCCUACGGGAGGCAGCAGUGGGGAAUAUUGCACAAUGGGGGAAACCCUGAUGCAGCGACGCCGCGUGAGUGAUGAAGUAUUUCGGUAUGUAAAGCUCUAUCAGCAGGGAAGAAAAUGACGGUACCUGACUAAGAAGCACCGGCUAAAUACGUGCCAGCAGCCGCGGUAAUACGUAUGGUGCAAGCGUUAUCCGGAUUUACUGGGUGUAAAGGGAGCGUAGACGGAGUGGCAAGUCUGAUGUGAAAACCCGGGGCUCAACCCCGGGACUGCAUUGGAAACUGUCAAUCUAGAGUACCGGAGAGGUAAGCGGAAUUCCUAGUGUAGCGGUGAAAUGCGUAGAUAUUAGGAGGAACACCAGUGGCGAAGGCGGCUUACUGGACGGUAACUGACGUUGAGGCUCGAAAGCGUGGGGAGCAAACAGGAUUAGAUACCCUGGUAGUCCACGCCGUAAACGAUGACUACUAGGUGUUGGGCAGCAAAGCUGUUCGGUGCCGCAGCAAACGCAAUAAGUAGUCCACCUGGGGAGUACGUUCGCAAGAAUGAAACUCAAAGGAAUUGACGGGGACCCGCACAAGCGGUGGAGCAUGUGGUUUAAUUCGACGCAACGCGAAAAACCUUACCAGGCCUUGACAUACCGAUGACGUCUUUAGAGAUAGAGAGUUACCUUCGGGUACAUCGGAUACAGGUGGUGCAUGGUUGUCGUCAGCUCGUGUCGUGAGAUGUUGGGUUAAGUCCCGCAACGAGCGCAACCCUUAUCAUUAGUUGCUAACAGUCAGAUGAGCACUCUAAUGAGACUGCCAGCGAAAAGUUGGAGGAAGGUGGGGAUGACGUCAAAUCAUCAUGCCCCUUAUGGCCUGGGCUACACACGUGCUACAAUGGCUGGUACAAAGAGGAGCAAAGCUGUGAAGUGGAGCAAAUCCCAAAAAUAACGUCUCAGUUCGGACUGUAGUCUGCAACCCGACUACACGAAGCUGGAAUCGCUAGUAAUCGCAGAUCAGAAUGCUGCGGUGAAUACGUUCCCGGGUCUUGUACUCACCGCCCGUCA